UUGGGGAUAAAGUUGGGGAAGGAGA
rnacentral:sRNA from 1 species